rnacentral:rRNA from 1 species
UACAGAGGUCUCAAGCGUUGUUCGGAUUCAUUGGGCGUAAAGGGUGCGUAGGCGGCGCGGUAAGUCGGGUGUGAAAUUUCGAGGCUUAACUUCGAAACUGCAUUCGAUACUGCCGUGCUUGAGGACUGGAGAGGAGACUGGAAUUCGAUGGUGUAGCAGUGAAAUGCGUAGAGAUCAUGAGGAAGACCAGUGGCGAAGGCGGGUCUCUGGACAGUUCCUGACACUGAGGCACGAAGGCCCAGGGGAGCAAACGGGG